UCAAGCUACUAAGGGCAUACGGUGGAUGCCUAGGCGCCAAGAGCCGAAGAAGGACGCGGUAAGCUGCGAAAAGCCACGGGGAACUGCAAGCAAGUAUUGAUCCGUGGAUAUCCGAAUGGGGAAACCCGGCCAUCGUCAUGGAUGGUCACCCGCAAGGGAGGGAACCUGGGGAACUGAAACAUCUAAGUACCCGGAGGAAGAGAAAUCAAACGAGAUGCCCACAGUAGCGGCGAGCGAAGAGGGCAGAGCCCAAACCGAGAAGCUCCGGCUUUUCGGGGUUGAGGACCGGCAGAAUCGAAGUCAGGCCUAGUUGAAUUACCUGGAAAGGUAAGCGAGAGAGGGUAAAAGCCCCGUAGACGAAAGGCAGAGCAGAGAGGCCGAGAUCCAGAGUACCACGAAGCACGAGGAAUUUUGUGGGAAGCAGGGGGGACCACCCUCCAAGGCUAAAAACUACUUGGCGACCGAUAGCGCAUAGUACCGUGAGGGAAAGGUGAAAAGAACCCCGGGAGGGGAGUGAAAUAGUACCUGAAACCGUAUGUCUACAAGCAGUCGAAGCGAAAGCGACGGCGUGCCUAUUGAAGAAUGAACCAACGAGUUAUCUGCACUAGCGAGGUUAAGUGGAAGACACGGAGCCGCAGCGAAAGCGAGUCUUAAGAGGGCGCUAGUUAGUGUAGGUAGACCCGAAACCGCAGUGAUCUACCCAUGUCCAGGUUGAAGCGCAGGUAAAAUUGCGUGGAGGACCGAACCGGUGAGCGUUGAAAAGCUUUCGGAUGAGAUGUGGGUAGGGGUGAAAUUCCAAUCGAACGCGGAGAUAGCUGGUUCUCCCCGAAAUAGCUUUAGGGCUAGCCUGAGGUAGUAAGUAUAGGCGGUAGAGCACUGAUCGGGCUAGGGGCCGUAAAGGUUACCGAACCCUGUCAAACUCCGAAUGGAUAUACUGUAGAGCCUUGGAGUCAGACUACGAGUGAUAAGAUCCGUGGUCAAAAGGGAAACAGCCCAGACCACCAGCUAAGGUCCCCAAUGUCGUACUAAGUGGAAAAGGAUGUGGGGUUUCAUAAACAACCAGGAUGUUGGCUCAGAAGCAGCCACCAUUUAAAGAGUGCGUAAUAGCUCACUGGUCGAGAGACCCUGCGCCGAAGAUUCCCGGGGCUAAAGUACGAAACCGAAGCUGUGGCUGUAUACGUAAAGUAUACGGGGUAGGGGAGCGUUCCCAUAGGGUAGAAGUCGAACUGGAAGGUUCGGUGGACUUGUGGGAAGUGAGAAUGUUGGUAUGAGUAGCGAAAAGAAAGGUGAGAAUCCUUUCCACCGAAAGCAUAAGGAUUCCUGAGCAACGAUCGUCGUCUCAGGGUAAGUCGGGACCUAAUCCGAGGCAGAGAGCGUAGGAGAUGGACAACUGGUUGAUAUUCCAGUACCGGUAGUAAUUGUUUGAGCAAUGGAGUGACACAGAAGGGCAGGCAAGCAUGCGAAUGGAAGAGCAUGUGUAAGCGUGUAGGGUGGUGCAUAGGCAAAUCCGUGCACUGAAAGCCUGAGGCGUGAUGCGGAGUGAGCAGAGAUGCGAGCGAAGUUGUUGACCCCACACUGUCGAGAAAAGCUUCUAGUGAGAGAGCUACCGCCCGUACCGUAAACCGACACAGGUAUGCGGGGAGAGAAUCCUAAGGUGCGCGGGAAAACCCUCGUUAAGGAACUCGGCAAAAUGUACCCGUAACUUCGGGAUAAGGGUAGCCACUGUUGUGAAGUCCCAUGCGGAUGGAGCAUAGAGUGGUCGCAGAGAAGAGGCCCAAGCGACUGUUUACCAUAAACACAGGUGCCUGCUAAAGCGAAAGCUGACGUAUAGGUGCUGACACCUGCCCAGUGCCGGAAGGUUAAGGAAGGAUGUUCGGAGUAAUCCAAAGCAUUCGACUGAAGCCCCGGUGAACGGCGGCCGUAACUAUAACGGUCCUAAGGUAGCGAAAUUCCUUGUCGGGUAAG
rnacentral:rRNA from 1 species